rnacentral:rRNA from 1 species
AGCGGCGAACGGGUGAGUAACACGUGGGUGAUCUGCCUCGCACUUCGGGAUAAGCCUGGGAAACUGGGUCUAAUACCGGAUAUGACUUCUGGUCGCAUGGCUGGGGGUGGAAAGAUUUAUCGGUGCGAGAUGGGCCCGCGGCCUAUCAGCUUGUUGGUGGGGUAAUGGCCUACCAAGGCGACGACGGGUAGCCGGCCUGAGAGGGCGACCGGCCACACUGGGACUGAGACACGGCCCAGACUCCUACGGGAGGCAGCAGUGGGGAAUAUUGCACAAUGGGCGAAAGCCUGAUGCAGCGACGCCGCGUGAGGGAUGACGGCCUUCGGGUUGUAAACCUCUUUCGACAGGGACGAAGCGCAAGUGACGGUACCUGUAGAAGAAGCACCGGCCAACUACGUGCCAGCAGCCGCGGUAAUACGUAGGGUGCGAGCGUUGUCCGGAAUUACUGGGCGUAAAGAGCUUGUAGGCGGUUUGUCGCGUCGUCUGUGAAAACUCACAGCUCAACUGUGAGCUUGCAGGCGAUACGGGCAGACUUGAGUACUGCAGGGGAGACUGGAAUUCCUGGUGUAGCGGUGAAAUGCGCAGAUAUCAGGAGGAACACCGGUGGCGAAGGCGGGUCUCUGGGCAGUAACUGACGCUGAGAAGCGAAAGCGUGGGUAGCGAACAGGAUUAGAUACCCUGGUAGUCCACGCCGUAAACGGUGGGCGCUAGGUGUGGGUUUCCUUCCACGGGAUCCGUGCCGUAGCUAACGCAUUAAGCGCCCCGCCUGGGGAGUACGGCCGCAAGGCUAAAACUCAAAGGAAUUGACGGGGGCCCGCACAAGCGGCGGAGCAUGUGGAUUAAUUCGAUGCAACGCGAAGAACCUUACCUGGGUUUGACAUACACCGGAAACCUGCAGAGAUGUAGGCCCCCUUGUGGUCGGUGUACAGGUGGUGCAUGGCUGUCGUCAGCUCGUGUCGUGAGAUGUUGGGUUAAGUCCCGCAACGAGCGCAACCCUUGUCCUGUGUUGCCAGCGGAUUAUGCCGGGGACUCGCAGGAGACUGCCGGGGUCAACUCGGAGGAAGGUGGGGACGACGUCAAGUCAUCAUGCCCCUUAUGUCCAGGGCUUCACACAUGCUACAAUGGCCGGUACAGAGGGCUGCGAUACCGUGAGGUGGAGCGAAUCCCUUAAAGCCGGUCUCAGUUCGGAUCGGGGUCUGCAACUCGACCCCGUGAAGUUGGAGUCGCUAGUAAUCGCAGAUCAGCAACGCUGCGGUGAAUACGUUCCCGGGCCUUGUACACACCGCCCGUCACGUCAUGAAAGUCGGUAACACCCGAAGCCGGUG